rnacentral:rRNA from 1 species
AAAUAAAUAUUUAUUUUUCUCGAUUUUAAAAGAGUUAAUAUAAUAUUUAAGUUAAUGUGAUAAAAUUAUUUAUAAUAUUAUAUUAGAAAUGAAAUGUUAUUCGUUUUUAAAGGUAUCUAGUUUUUUAAGAAAUAAAUUUAAUUUAGAAAUUAUAAAUUUACUUAAUUAUUUAUUUAAUUAAUUAAUUUAUAAUUUUAAUGUUUUAUGGGAUAAGCUAUAAAAUAAAUUUUUAAAAAUAUUAAAUAGAUUUAAUAAAUAUAUGCUUAGAAUUAGCAAUUAUUAAAAAAUGUGUUAUAAUUUAUUUUAUAAAUUAAAUUAUUUAUUAAAUUUUAAUUAUUUAUUAAAAUGUUAGUUUUAAUUAUUAAAAUUAAGUAAUAAUGAUAAAAUUAGUAUAUAAUAAUGUUAAAAUUAAUUUAUAUGAAAAGUUUAAAUAAAGAAUUCGGCAAAAAUAAUAUUCGCCUGUUUAACAAAAACAUGUCUUUUUGAAUUAUAUAUAAAGUCUAACCUGCCCACUGAAAAUUUUAAAUGGCCGCAGUAUUUUGACUGUGCAAAGGUAGCAUAAUCAUUAGUCUUUUAAUUGAAGGCUGGAAUGAAUGGUUGGACGAAAUAUUAACUGUUUCAUUUAAAAUUUUUAUAGAAUUUUAUUUUUUAGUCAAAAAGCUAAAAUUUAUUUAAAAGACGAGAAGACCCUAUAAAUCUUUAUAUUUUUUUUUAUUUUAAUUAUAUAGAUUAAUUAAAUUUUAAUAAAUAAAAAUAUUUUAUUGGGGUGAUAUUAAAAUUUAAAAAACUUUUAAUUUUUUAAAAACAUAAAUUUAUGAAUAUUUGAUCCAUUAAUAAUGAUUAAAAAAUUAAGUUACUUUAGGGAUAACAGCGUAAUUUUUUUGGAGAGUUCAUAUCGAUAAAAAAGAUUGCGACCUCGAUGUUGGAUUAAGAUAUAAUUUUGGGUGUAGC